UCGGAUUCCUCUUCAAAGUUUUACCGGAUAAUAGCUUUGAUCAACGAGCACGGACAAGGUUCCGAGGUAAAAGCACACACAACGUAUUCUCCGCUUCCCCUUAGCUUCGUUUUUACCUGCAAUUUCAGGGUCCUUCGCCAGGCGAGCAUUUGAUGCGCCUGCGCUCUUUGCCUCGCUCGAAGCGCAGCUAUUACCGAUUUUGCCUCUUCCAGCGAUGUCACUUCCAUCUCGUUGCCAUCCUUGGACAAAUCGCCUGGCCUUGCCUCGGUGAUCGCUGCCAACGGACAGCUGUCCAUCGACUUCUCGAAUUUUCUGACGAGUUAAUAACUCUGCUCGUAUUCUAUCCAAUAAAAACAAUUCGUUGUUUGUCCGAGGUCACGACGAGUCUAUGGUUUUUAAUCGUAUCGAGUACCGACUUCUCGAAACACGCAAAACGAAUUACGGAAUUUUAUUCUAUAUUCGCAGCGGAAUAUUCGUGAUUUUUUGGCGCGCCAUCGGAAAUUUCGCGCGAUGCGAUUGGACCGCGUGAAAUUCACUGUUGCGAGGGCGAAAAAUCCAACAUAAUAUCUCCGGCGUAAAUUCAAAUGAAACGUAUCAAAUAUUAUACGGGGAACUGCGUUCGCGCAAGGCUCGAGCCGCGCUCUACGGUUUAUUCGGCUAUUCGUAUUCGAGAUUUGUACUCGUAAAAGUAUGCAACGAUUUCGACCAGCGAACAUAAUCGAUACACAGACCGCACGAAAUCCAGCAAGCGGGAUAACGGAGUAACGUUUCAUUUACAAUUUUAGGUAUCAUUUGCAUAACACAGCCUCGAUGUAUUUAUGGAAAAUGUUGCUUUUCCUGCACGCGAGACCCGACCAUUCGCUAAUUAAGUUGAAAUAAAUUAUGCAUGAGUCACCGGUCG
rnacentral:misc_RNA from 1 species